rnacentral:rRNA from 1 species
AUGAAGUGGUCGGCGGUGGGGAAGGCGUUCUCACCACGUCCGUUCAACAAGACUGUGCUCGAAAAAACUAUGCAGAGGGCAUGGGGACUUCACCACGAAGCAAGAUUCCGUGACAUGGGCGAUAACAUAUUCGCAGUCCACUUUGGUAGCGAAGGUGAUUGGAGGCAUGCGAUGUCGAAUGGGCCUUGGCAGUUUGAUUUUAAUGUCCUGGUGUUAAAGGAGUAUGAUAGCAACGUUAGACCCUCGGAGAUGAUAUUUGACAAGGUCGAUGUUUGGGUUAGAGUUACAGAUCUGCCACCGGGGAAGAGGACGGAGAGUUUUGGCAGGGCCCUCGGCAACUGGCUAGGAGAGGUAAUCAAGGUGGAUGUGGACAAGGAUGGCAUGGCAAGAGGUAACCAGCUACGGGUUAGGGCAAGAAUCUCCAUCUUUGAACCACUGGUACGGGUUUUCUUCCUCAAGGCCACUCAGGAAGAAAAUAACAGGACAUAG